UACGUAGGGGGCAAGCGUUGUCCGGAAUCAUUGGGCGUAAAGCGCGUGUAGGCGGCCCGGUAAGUCCGCUGUGAAAGUCCAGGGCUCAACCCUGGAAUGCCGGUGGAUACUGUCGGGCUCGAGUCCGGAAGAGGCGAGUGGAAUUCCUGGUGUAGCGGUGAAAUGCGCAGAUAUCAGGAGGAACACCAAUGGCGAAGGCAGCUCGCUGGGACGGUACUGACGCUGAGACGCGAAAGCGUGGGGAGCAAACAGGG
rnacentral:rRNA from 1 species